UACAGGGGGUGCAAACGUUGCUCGGAAUCAUUGGGCGUAAAGCGCACGUAGGCGGUUCGUUAUGUCGGAUGUGAAAGCCCUUGGCUUAACCGAGGAAGUGCAUCCGAAACUGGCGAGCUAGAGUACGAAAGAGGAUCGCGGAAUUCCCGGUGUAGAGGUGAAAUUCGUAGAUAUCGGGAGGAACACCGGUGGCGAAGGCGGCGACCUGGUCCUUUACUGACGCUGAGGCGCGAAAGCGUGGGGAGCAAACAGG
rnacentral:rRNA from 1 species